rnacentral:rRNA from 1 species
UACGUAGGUGGCAAGCGUUGUCCGGAAUUAUUGGGCGUAAAGCGCGCGCAGGCGGUCGCGUAAGUCUGCUGUGAAAUCUCCCUGGCUCAACCGGGAGGGGCGGCGGAGACUGCGGGACUGGAGGGACCUAGAGGCCGGUGGAAUUCCCGGUGUAGUGGUGAAAUGCGUAGAGAUCGGGAGGAACACCUGUGGCGAAGGCGGCCGGCUGGGGGUGCCCUGACGCUGAGGCGCGAAAGCGUGGGGAGCGAACAGG